ACAACCAGCUGAAGGCUGAUGACCCCUCCCCCUGGCAAUCAGCUGAAGGCUGAUGACCCCUCCCCCCUGGCAACCAGCUGAAGGCUGAUGACCCCUCACCCCUGGCAACCAGCUGAUGACUCCUCCCCCUGACAACCAGCUGAAGGCUGAUGACUCCUCCCCCUGACAACCGGCUGAUGACUCCUCCCCCUGACAACCAGCUGAUGACUCCUCCCCCUGACAACCAGCUGAUGACUCCUCCCCCUGACAACCAGCUGAUGACUCCUCCCCCUGACAACCAGCUGAUGACUCCUCCCCCUGACAACCAGCUGAUGACUCCUCCCUCUGACAACCAGCUGAUGACUCCUCCCCCUGACAACCAGCUGAUGACCCCUCCCCCCUGACAACCAGCUGAAGGCUGAUGACCCUUGGAUAAUUAUUUCUCCAAUAGAAUCCAGAGAGUGUCCUUCAGUGGAAGCUUCUCUAACAUCAGAUAUGUAAAGUGCGGUGUCCCUCAGGGUAGUUGCCUUGGGCCAGUUACUCUUCUCUAUUUUUACAAAUGAUUUGCCACUGGUCUUAAACACAAAGCUAGAAUCACUACGUAUGCAGAUGAUUCCACACUCUACACAUCAGUAUCAGGUGUUUAAUAAUAAAAACAUUCUCUAAGACCUAAACCUCAGCUGGAGUUGUGUAUAAAGGGUUGUGACCAUUGAGCAAGUUGAGGAAGCUAAAUUCAUACUUAUAAACUGGGUGCUUCGAGCCCUGAAUGCUGAUUGGCUAACAGCCGUGGUAUACCACGGAUAUAACAAAACAUUUAUUUGGACUCUUCUAAUUACGUUGGUAACCAGUUUAUAAUAGCAAUAAGGCACCUUGGGGGGGUUGUGGUAAAUGGCCAAUAUUCCACGGCUAAAGGCUGUAUCCAAGAACUCUGCGUUGCGUCGUGCUUAAGAACAGCCCUUAGCCGUCGUAAAUUGUCCAUAAACCACAUCCCCCCCCUCGCGCCUCAUUGCUUAAGUAUAACAGUGGAUGGUCAGUUAUUAUGGUCAAGUCAAAUUGACAGAGUUGUCGUGAAGAUGGGGAGAGGUAUGUCUGUUGUAAAAAGAUGUUCUGCGUUUUUGAAACAUCAAUAAACUGCACUAGUUGUUCAGACUCUG